GAGGGUAUAGUUCACCAGUAGGGUGUGUGCUUAGCAUGCACAAGGUCCUGGGUUCAAUUCCCAGUACCUCCA
rnacentral:tRNA from 1 species